GAUGAACGCUGGCGGCGUGCCUAAUACAUGCAAGUCGAGCGAACAGACGAGGAGCUUGCUCCUCUGACGUUAGCGGCGGACGGGUGAGUAACACGUGGAUAACCUACCUAUAAGACUGGGAUAACUUCGGGAAACCGGAGCUAAUACCGGAUAAUAUAUUGAACCGCAUGGUUCAAUAGUGAAAGACGGUUUUGCUGUCACUUAUAGAUGGAUCCGCGCCGCAUAGCUAGUUGGUAAGGUAACAGCUUACCAAGGCAACGAUGCGUAGCCGACCUGAGAGGGUGAUCGGCCACACUGGAACUGAGACACGGUCCAGACUCCUACGGGAGGCAGCAGUAGGGAAUCUUCCGCAAUGGGCGAAAGCCUGACGGAGCAACGCCGCGUGAGUGAUGAAGGUCUUCGGAUCGUAAAACUCUGUUAUUAGGGAAGAACAAAUGUGUAAGUAACUAUGCACGUCUUGACGGUACCUAAUCAGAAAGCCACGGCUAACUACGUG
rnacentral:rRNA from 1 species